GGAAAAAAGAAAAUUCUACUCAAAUUUUGAGUUUAAGAUUGCCAUUUCCCCCCUCUAGGGGUGCCAUAAUCAUAUAUUUUCUUCCCUCAGCCCCCAUCCAUUGUGGGGCUGAGGUAGUAUAGACCAUCCAUCUGUGAAAGUCCCUCUGUGGGCCCCAUCUAUUGCAAAUUCCUGGAUCCGCCACUGGUGACACUACACUAAACAGCUCCAGGAUGCAAAACAAUACGCUACAGGUUUGCCAAGUAAGUCUGACAAUUGAGGGCGCUUUAACAAAGAACACUUGAGGAAUGGUAGAAUUAUUAUCAUCUUCUCAUACCCAGCGGCAAUCAUCACAAAUACUGAAUCUGCAACUACUGUAUAACCAAUUUACUUAAUAACUGAAGAAGAAUUUUUCUUGGACGAUCUGAAAAAUAGAAGUCUCGGGAAUCACCACCAAGAAGCAGAACCGCCAUCAGUAACUAAUUAUUUUUAGACACCGAGAGAAGGAAUUCUGAAAAGAUGAUAAAUGGGACGAUCGGAAGGCAGCAAGAACAUUAGAGAAACAUCAUCCACAGUGAGAUCAAACUUACUGGUCUAUACCCUAUGGGAAGGAUUGAAUGUUUUAAUGACGAAAAAUGGAGAGAAAAAUCGGUCAAUGGUCGACGAAACUUUGACCAACCCCUGGAGAGUUGCUUUGUAUGCGAAGCUAGGGAGCUACCCAUCGUUGUUAAUACACACAAUCCAUGGUAUUACAGAAGAUGUCAUAAUAAAAAAUAUCUUGGAAAACUUGAUGGAAAUUUUCAAUAUGGUUUCGUGCAUGAAAGGGAAGUUUAGAGCGACCAAUCAGAAGAGCUGUUGUAAAUAUGAUUGGCAGCUCAUUGAAGUGUUAAGAUUAGUCUGGUUUGGUAAUAAGUGGGUCUAUCAUGGUACUCAGGUGAUAUAAUGAAGCAUACGUUUUAAAGAUGUCAUGUGAUGUAAAGUUGGAAAUGUUUCAGUUUUUUUAAUGAAUCAUAAAGCUGCCCACACUGGGUUGCCAUGAAAGUGAACUUUUUACGUUAACGCUGUUAACUAUGCACAAGUCGUCCUAAGUUACCCGCAAAUCGUUGAUAAAAAUUAAAAUAAACAGAUCUCUUAAUUGGAUGCUACAGUAUAUAAAUUUAGUAAUAGUUUGUCAUUGUAGACAUGAAACUUGCACACGCAAACUGUAUGUAUGUAUAUAUAUAUAAAAUCAAACGAGUAGGUGGCUGCAUCGGCUUCAAUAAAAUAGUAA